UGAUUUCGAAGCAAAAAAUUCUUGGAAACUUCCUUCUCAUCAGAAAGAAGAAGAUAAAAAGGUUGGUUGUUGUUGCAUCGAUCUCCAAAUCCAGAUUGAUUCGUCACGAAAUCUGCUCACCGGUUGUUUCGUCGCCGUCCUCUGUUCACCCAACGAAGAUGAACGGCGGUCCCUCCGGUUUCCGUACGUAUCGUC